rnacentral:rRNA from 1 species
UGCUAAUACCGGAUGUGCCUUCGGGUGAAAGUUUUAAUGCCUGUAGAUGAACUUGCGUUCGAUUAGCUAGAUGGUGGGGUAACGGCCUACCAUGGCGACGAUCGAUAACUGGUCUGAGAGGAUGACCAGUCACACUGAGACUGAGACACGGCCCAGACUCCUACGGGAGGCAGCAGUGGGGAAUUUUCCGCAAUGGGCUGAAAGCCUGACGGAGCAAUACCGCGUGAGGGACGAAGGUCUGUGGAUUGUAAACCUCUUUUGUAGGGGAAGAUCAUGACGGUUACCAACGAAUAAGCAUCGGCUAACUCCGUGCCUGCAGCCGCG